ensembl:snRNA U6 U6 spliceosomal RNA
GUACUUGCUUCAGCAGCACGUAUAUUAAAAUUGGAACAAUACAGAGAUUGGUAUGGUACCUGCACAAGGAUAACACGCAAAUUCAUGAAAUGUUCCAUAUUUUA